rnacentral:rRNA from 1 species
UACGUAAGGAUCGAGCGUUGUCCGGAAUCAUUGGGCGUAAAGGGUACGUAGGCGGGUUUUAAAGUUAGAAGUCAAAGGCUAUAGCUCAACUAUAGUAAGCAUCUAAAACCGGAAACCUUGAGUGAUGGAAGGGAAAGUGGAAUUCCUGGUGUAGCGGUGGAAUGCGCAGAUAUUAGGAGGAAUACCGGUGGCGAAGGCGACUUUCUGGACAUUAUCUGACGCUGAGGUACGAAAGCGUGGGUAGCAAACAGG